CAUCUGCCUUGGUGUUCUUGGAAAGCUGGGAUGGGAAUGUGACACAGGCACUCAGCAAAUGACAAAGAAAAACUCCAAAGAAAGGCAGUCAUUUGAGGAGAGAAGCUUUGAGAAAGCAUCAACUGAAAAUAAAACUCCUUCAAACCCAAACCCAUCCCAGCUGCAGAGGAGGAUAAAUGAAAAUCUGCUUCAGGGUUCCUGUCAUGUUGUGAAGCACACGAGUAACUAACGAGGAAACAGUCAAUUAGUGUUAACAGCAUCUUGGAAAUAAAUACUAAUGAAACAAGAAUGAGAAGAAGAUAACCCUGUGUUUUCAUCUGUGGAAGAAAAUGGAACAACCACGAGCUUGCUAAACUAUCAGGAUGAUGCCAAGUGGGAACAGAAAUUAAUUAAUUUAAGGAAACAUUGGACAGUCUGGUGGAAAAGCAUGCAGGCACCAGAGGUAAAUAUGCAAACACCUUCAAGCCUUGCAGUCAGUGGGGGAGCAGGAAGCCACUUUUCAUUCUCUCACUUCCAAUUUUAAUUCUUUUGGAAGCAACAGGGUGAUUUCUCUCCAUUUUCAUGGCAAUCCCUUAGGAACACGCAGCUCCUUGGGAUACAGAACCACACUUUAACCACAAAGAACCUGGGGCAGCUGUCCAAAAUUGUCAUUGAAAUGAAUAGUGGCUUCUUUACUUUAGAGAUGCAUGGAAUAAAAAGAAAAGAAAUCCAUAAAAAAAAUUAUGAAAAAUAAAAAUAAAGGAAUGUUUUCUCCAUGCUGUGGGGGAAUACAUUAAAAAUUAUUG